rnacentral:rRNA from 1 species
UUAGAUACCCUGGUAGUCCACGCCGUAAACGAUGUCUACUAGCCGUUGGGAAACUUGAUUUCUUAGUGGCGCAGCUAGCGCACUAAGUAGACCGCCUGGGGAGUACGGCCGCAAGGUUAAAACUCAAAUGAAUUGACGGGGGCCCGCACAAGCGGUGGAGCAUGUGGUUUAAUUCGAUGCAACGCGAAGAACCUUACCUGGUCUUGACAUCCUGCGAACUUUCUAGAGAUAGAUUGGUGCCUUCGGGAACGCAGUGACAGGUGCUGCAUGGCUGUCGUCAGCUCGUGUUGUGAAAUGUUGGGUUAAGUCCCGUAACGAGCGCAACCCUUAUCCUUAUUUGCCAGCACUUCGGGUGGGAACUCUAAGGAGACUGCCGGUGACAAACCGGAGGAAGGUGGGGACGACGUCAAGUCAUCAUGGCCCUUACGACCAGGGCUACACACGUGCUACAAUGGUAAGUACAAAGGGACGCUAAGCCGCGAGGUGGAGCUAAUCCCAGAAGGCUUAUCGUAGUCCGGAUUGGAGUCUGCAACUCGACUCCAUGAAGUCGGAAUCGCUAGUAAUCGUGGAUCAGAAUGCCACGGUGAAUACGUUCCCGGGCCUUGUACACACCGCCCGUCACACCAUGGGAGUGGAUUGCACCAGAAGUAGUUAGUCUAACCUUCGGGGGGACGAUUACCACGGUGUGGUUCAUGACUGGGGUGAAGUCGUAACAAGGUAACC